AUUUUUACAAACUAAAGCGGUUUUAUUGAAAAGUAUAUAAUUAUAAAUAGGUAGAAAAAUAUUAUAAAAUGAUAAUUAGGUACAAUUCUGAAGGUAGGAUAAGUUCAGCAGUAAAUGUUGAAAAGCUCAUUGAAUGUAAUGCUAUUCCAGCAACAGGGUUCAAUGUUGCAGUAUGAUCUCAUCUGGCAAUUUUAAGUGAAUUAUUUAAAGCUGGAGGUAUAGAAAUUAAUGAUAUACCGCUUUCACAAAGCACACUUCAUAGAUAAAAGUUUAAAUAUGUAGAACUAGAAGGAAGCUUGGAGCGGAUUUCAAUAACGGAUCAUCUAUAGGUCGACGGCUUAUUUUGAUACCAAACUGCUGGAACAAAUUACCACUGGGCUUCCCAGUAAGCACAGAUUGUUUUUAAAACGUUUAAAAAACGUUUAUGUCUGUUUUAAUAAGUUUUUAAACGUUUUAAAAACGUCCUGUGCUUACUGGGUUAACAUUAUUCAAAAAAUUGAUACCAUAAAAGACCAUCUUUUAGGUGUUGUUCCUCUUUAAAUGGAGUUGACCAAGCGGAACAAGUGCACAAUCUUUUUGAAUAUUAUGGAUAUAAAGAGCAGAUCAUUGGUAUGUGCUGUGAUACAACUGCAAGCAAUCCAGGCGGAGUCAUUCGAGAAGUUUAAAAUUGCGAAUGUUGUGGAUAAAAAGUGUAGGAGACACAUAUAUGAAGUAAAUGUAUCUCACUAUAUGGCUGCUCUUACUGGUGAGAAAACUAAAGGUUCAAGAAGAGCUCUUUAUGUCAAGCUAAAAAAGAAGUCGCCUGAAAUUUGCGAGAAAGUUAAUGAAGUGAAAAAUUUAUGAAAAUUGAACUGGCAAAGAGAUGAUCUGAAGAUUGGCUUUGUUCUUCGCACUGUUGCAGAGGAAGCUAAGAUAUUUUUGACUAAUGCAAUUACUGAUAUGGUGUUUUCAAGGAAUGAAUAUAGUAUAGCUUGUAAGCUUUUUCCUUCUUACUACAUCCUGACAUUUUGUAUGACCAAAGAUAUAAAAGUCAUAUCUUGACAGAAAAAGAAGUGCUGCAGUUGAAGGAUGCAAGUUUGUUCGUUGCAACUUGCUAUGUUCCAUGGUUUUUGUGAGUUUUUUUAGGAUUUCCGGCUCCCUUGAUUGAAAAUGCUUUGCUUCUCAGCAUGAGACAUCAUACGCAGUACUUAACUCUGCAACUCUGUAUUUGUUCUUUGGGGACAAAGAAGUUUCUUCUGAAACAAAGCUAAAAAUGCUGUUAGCUCUGAUUGAGUUUGAAGAGCCAAAUGAAUUUCAGCGUUGUAAACCACCAAAUGUACAAAUAGGAGAGACCACAGAGCUACCUGAGCUGAUUUACAAGCAAAGCUACCUUCUCUUUAAACAUUUUAAAAUAUCAAGAGCAAGUAUAAAAAAAUGGCUCAAUAAUAGUCUUAAUUCUAUAGAUGUUUUUAGCUAUCCUGAGUUGCUAGAUUUUAUUGUAUGGAUCAAAAACAUAUCUGUUGUAAAUGAUGGUAAAGAAAGAAACAUUAAGUUCAUUAAAAAUUUUAUUUCAGCUACUGGAGAUGAAGAUCCCCAACGGGCAUUUGUUGGUUUAAAAUUGGUUUAGAUCACGUUUAGAUGGCAUUUACGUCAAUCUAAACGUUUAGGAAUCUAUUCUAAACGUGUUCUGAAUAUUUAAUUUGCGUUGAAAAACUAAAUCAAACAAUUUCCGUACGGAACAAAAUGUGUCGGACAUUUUGAAUCUUUCAUUAUGAUUAAAAAUUAGAGUUUCUUAUUAAUCUUAAAUUAUGUAAUAAAGGUUUAGAAACAAUAAAAGAAAUUUGUUUUUAGUAUUAUAUUGUGGCUAAUGAAGGAGUUAAAAAGUCCUGUAAGUUCUUCGAUAAUAUUGUAUGAGCGAUUAAAAUCCAGUCAGUUGCAACAACAAUUAAAGCAGCAGGAAACAGCCAAGUACACAUGCAAGUGAUUGUUAUGAGGAUUGCAAAACUUUUAAAUAUCAGAAACUGAAGAAAGCAUUGAUAAUCAGCAGAUAUCAAAAAAGCGCAAAAGUACUGAUUAUACAACUCUUUUAAAGUUGAGGAAGAAUUUUAUGUUAAUGUUAAUGCAAAAGGUACGAAUAUUGACAGUUAAACCAUCACCACUUCCACAGCCACCUUGUCUCAAGCAUUAAAUCGCAUUCUAAGAUAUCUUUAUUCAAAUUAUGUGUGACUACUUUACCAAAAGACUCUAGACCAAAUACCAAUCAAGUAAGAUGUCUAAACCUAUAUCUUUUAUAUAGAACUCCUUUGUUUUUAGAUGAACCUGUUAAUUUUAUGACUUAUGAACAUAUUUAGCAAUGCAAUCCUUUUAGGAUAGACUUUUUAAAAUCAAAUUUACAAUGUUAGUAAAUUUUUAUUUAAAAUAACUUUGUAUACAUAAUAUAUCUAUAUAGUUAUUCACAUAAUAGCUAACCAAUCAGUACUUGCAAAGUCUCCUUUUCUGUAAGCCCAAAAAUUGAGUUCUAAAAUACCAUUAUCCACAUAACUACUAUAUCAAAGUACAAUCUAAUGGAUUGAUCAAUGAAACUGUCGGAAUCUCCACAACUUUUCAGUUAAAUAGAAAGUUUCAAUUAAACAGGAUACUGAGUGUGCCUACUGCUCCUCAAGACAAUGACUAAUGGGAGUUAUCAAACUUUAUAUAUAUAUAUAUAUGUAUAUAUAUAUACAUACAUACAUACAUACAUACAUACAUACAUACAUACAUACAUACAUACAUACAUACAUACAUACAUACAUACAUACAUACAU